AAGUUUUUAUUUUUGGAUGCAAGGUCAAGAAAUCUCAUUUGGGUUGCGUUCUUCCUUUUGAAAUCUGAAUGGAAACACCACCACCCACUUAUGGGUUUCCAAUAGUAACAGAUGAAAGGACUUUAUUGCUUUGGUUAUAGAACCAAUUGAUUGAGCCGUAAGGAUAGAUGUGAGUUUUGUGUAAUUUGAUUCAUAUAUUCAUGAAUAUAUGUAUAUCAAUUGGGGAUAACUGAUCAUACACAUAUCAAAUCAAUUUCUUGUUUAUUGAUUCAUAUCAAAGAAUAAGAAGUUAUAAAUAUGAGGAAAAGAAAAGAAAGAAGGAUUGCAGUUAUGAGAAUCUAUCAACCCCUAGGCAUCUACAAAGUUUGAGAUUAAUUGUCAUCUGGGUAUCUAUCAACCCUUUAACCUCUGCAGAUCUGGGUUCUAUCAACCCUUAACCUCUACACAUUUGCACCGAUCUGCAAAUUUUUUUUUCUUUUCAGUACUGGAGUUUCAGGUUCGAUCUCCACCUUGGAAUAAUCAGCCCAAGACUGGCCGAAGCGACAACCGGGGACUCGCCGUGGUUGUCCUCGACGCGCUCUCGAGGCGACAAUGGGUGAGAGAAGAGGAUUUAGCUAAGGACUUGAAACUGCACUCGAAGCAACUCCGUCGUACAUUGCGGU